rnacentral:rRNA from 1 species
GAUGAACGCUGGCGGCGUGCCUAAUACAUGCAAGUCGAGCGAACGGACGAGAAGCUUGCUUCUCUGAUGUUAGCGGCGGACGGGUGAGUAACACGUGGAUAACCUACCUAUAAGACUGGGAUAACUUCGGGAAACCGGAGCUAAUACCGGAUAAUAUUUUGAACCGCAUGGUUCAAUAGUGAAAGACGGUCUUGCUGUCACUUAUAGAUGGAUCCGCGCUGCAUUAGCUAGUUGGUAAGGUAACGGCUUACCAAGGCAACGAUGCAUAGCCGACCUGAGAGGGUGAUUGGCCACACUGGAACUGAGACACGGUCCAGACUCCUACGGGAGGCAGCAGUAGGGAAUCUUCCGCAAUGGGCGAAAGCCUGACGGAGCAACGCCGCGUGAGUGAUGAAGGUCUUCGGAUCGUAAAACUCUGUUAUUAGGGAAGAACAUAUGUGUAAGUAACUAUGCACGUCUUGACGGUACCUAAUCAGAAAGCCACGGCUAACUACGUG